CCCUUUGGGAGAGGGGGGAAUCACAGGUGGGGGAGAAGCGGUCUCUUUGGGGGGCUGGGUAGCUGUGCCCCCUUUGGGAGUUGACCCUUUGGGAGAGGGAGGAGUAACAGGUAGAGAAGAGAUCUCUUUGGGGGACUGGGUAGUGGUGCCCCCUUUGGGAGAGGCAGGAAUCACAGGUGGGGGGGAAGGGGUCUCUUUGGUGGGCUGAGUAGCUGUGCCCCCUUUGGAAGAUGAUCCUUUGGGAGAGGGGGGAAUCACAGAAGCGGUCUCUUUGGUGGGCUGAGUAGCUGUGCCCCCUUUGGAAGAUGAUCCUUUGGGAGAGGGGGGAAUCACAGGUGGGGGAGAAGCGGUCUCUUUGGGGGGCUGGGUAGCUGUGCCCCCUUUGGGAGUUGACCCUUUGGGAGAGGGGGGAAUCACAGGUGGGGGAGAAGCGGUCUCUUUGGGGGGCUG